UGCGGAGUACACGCGUCGUCCUGGAUUGUUCUCUGAUAAUACAAGUUUAAAUUAAGCAAGUUCCAAAUAUAAGAAACAUAUAAACGUUCUUCAUUGUUAACACUAAGAAUAAUGAAAUAAUUAUCAGUGAUUUUUCACGGGAAAAACAAGCAGUGAGAGUAAUUGAUCUACUGGAGAAGCAUUCCCGUCCUCGCUCCUGCUUCACAGUUGCCUCAAUUUACGCGUAGAGGGUUGUGAUGCGUUGUGAUGGCGGCCGCCGCGCCAGCAGAUGACGUAAGCGAGUUCAUCGCCAGCGGCAGGACAGGCCGACGAAACGCGGUGCCCGACAUCCGACACGGCCACGACGCACCGGGCGCUGCCGACCUGCCCGACGCGCUCAGCAAACUCUCAUGCGAGGACGCGGGAGCGAGUACCUCCGCCGCUGCAGGAGCUUCUGCCGCUGCUGGAACUGCGGCGGGUAGCGGGGAUGCCUCUGAUGCAAACGCUGCUUCAGGAGGUGCUGCGAAGUGAACGUUAACUCGAAUGACGGCAACACUGACGUUGAAUUAAAUGUUAAUGAGUAGUCGUCAUGAUGGUGACACUGAUUACCAAAGUGUAAUUUUGGGAACAUAGAACUCUCAGUAUGUUUACACUGAAGAGGAACAUGGUGCUCAUUUAAUGUGCACUUUGUGCAGCUUUCAUGAUGGUGAUGUCGAUUGAUGAUGUCUUAUUAUAUUAUAAAGAACUUUCAGUAUGGCUACACUGAAGUUGAGGCAACUAAAUUCGAAUAGAACAUCCUUGUUGGCAACUUUUUUUGAAACCUGAUAAAAUGAGAAGCGUAGAAUGCAAUACUCAUAUCUACAUUACAAGUCCUCGUGAAUAAUAAGAUAGAACUUUCCAAAAACCAUUAAGAAACAAGGAUUUACGAAUAUUUCGGAGCUGCUCGAAUUUCCCUCCAGACAGGCACGUUAUUAAUGUGAGUAGACUUAAAAUUCUAAACUUAGCUGUGGUAACAAGUAAAUUAUGGAAAAUGACAAAUUUUUCAUAAAAAUAUUAUGAAAAGAACAGAAUCGAACGACCAUCCUAAAUUUUUUAUUCAUCAAAGCUCCCCGUAAUUGAGCCAGGCAAAUUAUUAUUGUGGCAAAUUGUGGUGACGAGAAUAUUAGUGGUGACAAAUUGUUGUUAAAAAUUCACGUCAUGAAUUUUUGAUCGCAAGUUCUAAAAAUGAUAUUAAAUAAAGUUAUUCAUCCAGUGAUUGGUUGGAUUGCUCGGAAAAUGAAUACGGAUUUGAUUGUUAAAAUUUUUUGUUUCAACAAAAUUCUGGCAAUGGAAUUUUAGCUGGCCUCGAGUCAGCGUAGCUUCCUUCAAUUGUAUAUAUGAAAAUAAUUACUUUGAAUUUUCAGGGUCAAAAUGUCUCAUUAUAAAUGUACUUAAUGAAUUAAAAAACUACUUCAUAGAUCUUGCAUUUUGAUCAACCAACGUCAUCUGAAGAGUAUAUUUCGACCCUGAAAAUUUAAAUCGAUAAAUUCACUGGCUACUCACCGCCAGUGUUUAAACAAGUAUAUUUUACCAUCUAAUACUACCUUAUGGAAAUAAUUAUGACUAUGUAUAGCAACAGACUCCAUGGCUUCAUGAAUUAUUUUCUUACCAAGUUUCGACGCCUCCUGAUUGGUUUCUAUACAUAAUGAAUAAGUUUAAGUGGUACGUUUAUAAUUACAGAAUAUUACUUGUGCAAUAAAUGUUGCUAGAGCCCAGGAUUUAGCAAGCGCCAGCUAAUUGGCUCUAAAGGAAAGUUAUUAGAUAACUUGUGGUCUCAAAAUGUACUAUUGCCAUGUCCAAAGAUAAAUUACUCGAUUUUUUUGGAAGAUCAUUGAAAAAAGUAUGCACCGUUCGACAUUGCUUAAGUCACUAUAUCGGCUUAUUGACUGAAAGUUGAUUCAUUAAUCAUCUACCGAGACAUUUCUUGAACUAAAAUGUUAAAUUUUAACUUAUUAGAUAAUAAUGGGAAUUUUAUUCUGAAGUGUUAAAAAAUCUGGGUUUGUAGAGGUGGGUUGUUGCAUUCAACUUGAUUUAAUGUUGGGCGAAGUUGAAAAGUUGUUCCGCAUCUGCAGGGGACGAUCUUUAGCUAACAACUUUAUUGUUAGCUAAAGAUCGUUUACUUGAAUUGAAAGCCAAACCGCUUUGUCUUCAAAAAAAGCAAUAGGUGUUUUUUUAAUUUUUAUAGUUGACAAGAGCAAUUUUUGGUGAAACAGAAUGCAUAAUGCAAUGUAUACUUACGAGAUUCAAAUGUAUUUUUCACUGAAAUGCAAACUAAGACCAUUUUUUGUAGAAUUUCUAACUCAUCACUUCAACACGGGCAGUGAGUGUACAGCAGUUUGCUGUACGGAGCAUUGCAUUAAAAACUCUAGAAAUUUUACGUUUGUUUCCUCAAUUUUGAGGCCAACUUCUUGUGUACAGUUUAUCUAGAUUAAAUAAACCUAAAGUUUUUAUUUUCUUGUAUAAUAAUGAAGCAUGCACAGAUAAAUUUUUACAACUAAUUCCCAGUGUAUAGUAAACUGCGAAUAAUUGUGAAUACGCACUAAACAAAUCCAUAAUAGACAUUUUUAUCAGUGAUUGUGAAAAUAUUUCCUAACCGAAAACCAUUCACAUGUAUAUUAUCGCAUUUUUCAAGAACGGCAAUGUAAUGAAAUGUUAUUCGUAUCAGAGCUACGAAUGCAACGCUGUAUUUUUUAGAACGACAUGCCGACGUCGCUGCGAUGGAGAAUCGGCUCAGUAAGUUGUAAAUAAUAGGCAACACUUCCUCUGACUCUGAAGAGCCAUAGAUAGAAUAGACAUGGAAGCAGGUGAUGCAUAAUUGUGGUACUAGAUAUGCGGUCCUGGAGGUGUGGUCCUGGAGGAAGUCAGAGAGGUGUGGUCAGAAAGGUGUGGUGGUCAGAAAGGUGUCUCUGACCACCUGGUGUGGUCAGAGAGGUGUGAUCCUGAAGGUGUGGUCUUGGAGGUGUGGCCCUGGAGGUGUGGUCCUGAAGGUGUGGUCCGAGAGGUUUGGUCCUGGA